CAGAGAAUAGUUUAAUGUAAAACGCCAGCUUUGGGAGUUGGUGAUGAAGGUUUAAGUCCUUUUUCUCUGA
rnacentral:tRNA from 1 species